rnacentral:rRNA from 1 species
UACGGAGGGUGCAAGCGUCAUCCGGAUUCACUGGGUUUAAAGGGUGCGUAGGUGGGGAGGUAAGUCAGCGGUGAAAUCCCCGAGCUUAACUUGGGAACUGCCAUUGAUACUAUCUCUCUUGAAUACCUUGGAGGUGAGCGGAAUAUGUCAUGUAGCGGUGAAGUGCUUAGACAUGACAUAGAACACCAAUUGCGAAGGCAGCUCACUACACGGUCAUUGACACUGAGGCACGAAAGCGUGGGGAUCAAACAGG